CCUAUAUAACACAAAAUUAUUUAAAUAAAAACUAUAUGUUAUGAAAGUUUUCAAUAUUUAUGAAAUAGGGGUAAUGAGAAAGCACCACUAGCAAGUUUGGUAUGUCACUAUUAUUCAGUUUUGGGCCUAUUAAAUAAUUUAAUACCUUAUUUCUACCACAUGUAUCAACUGGUCCAAAAGUAUUAAAUGCGUAUUUAUAGGACCAAAAGCUGAUUAUAAAUGUUUCACUAUACGCGGCUUUUGUGUGUUUUCGACACAUAUGUUCUAUGGAAAAGUCAGAAACAAUAACUAAGGAAGGUAAGAAGAAAUCUUACUUUGCCUUCGUAUAGAUUAUACACUAUAGUUCAGUUCUGUGCAUACCAUUAAAUAACACCAUUGUGAAGGUUCUAAACAGGGUUAGUAAAUUUUGUACCUUCUAUACAUAACGGGAAUGAUACCGGAUUUGUAGAGAGCAAUUUUCUCGUAGAUCGGCUGAGAAAGAUCGAAAUGGUGGUUGGGAGGGUCGCAUGCACCACCAGGAGGACAAAAGUUAGUGGCAGUGACCACAA
rnacentral:lncRNA from 1 species